UACGUAGGUUGCAAGCGUUAUCCGGAAUUAUUGGGCGUAAAGCGCGCGCAGGUGGUUUCUUAAGUCUGAUGUGAAAGCCCACGGCUCAACCGUGGAGGGGCAUUGGAAACUGGGAGACUUGAGUGCAGAAGAGGAAAGUGGAAUUCCAGGUGUAGCGGUGAAAUGCGUAGAGAUAUGGAGGAACACCAGUGGCGAAGGCGACUUUCUGGUCUGUAACUGACACUGAGGCGCGAAAGCGUGGGGAGCAAACAGG
rnacentral:rRNA from 1 species